AUUGAACGCUGGCGGCGGGCCUAACACAUGCAAGUCGAGCGGGGUUUUCGGACCUAGCGGCGGACGGGUGAGUAAUGCGUAGGAAGCUGCCCGAUAGAGGGGGAUACCAGUUGGAAACGACUGUUAAUACCGCAUAAUGUCUACGGACCAAAGUGUGGGACCUUCGGGCCACAUGCUAUCGGAUGCGCCUACGUGGGAUUAGCUAGUUGGUGAGGUAAUGGCUCACCAAGGCGACGAUCUCUAGCUGGUUUGAGAGGAUGAUCAGCCACACUGGAACUGAGACACGGUCCAGACUCCUACGGGAGGCAGCAGCGGGGAAUAUUGGACAAUGGGCGCAAGCCUGAUCCAGCCAUGCCGCGUGUGUGAAGAAGGCCUUCGGGUUGUAAAGCACUUUCAGCGAGGAGGAAGGGGUGUGUGUUAAUAGUACACACCUUUGACGUUACUCGCAGAAGAAGCACCGGCUAACUCUGUGCCAGCAGCAGCCGCCGUAA
rnacentral:rRNA from 1 species